AGAUAUAUUCUUUAUUACGAAUGGAAAGUUUUGCAGCCAAGUUAUUAAACUCAGGAUGUUUUUCGCGAGUGGAAACUUGCUCAAGAACUUUGACGCAUGGUAACAAGUGAAAGCUUUAUGUUCCUGCGGAUGAUGUAAAAUUGCGGAAGUUCCGCACCUCUCUAACAUUUCUACAUAACUCGCUGGUUCAGUACUAGUUUCUCAGUAGAAGUUCGGAAGUUGUUGUGCGCGGUUGUCAAAGUUUAAUACGGCGGUUGCGUGUGUGUUUUAAACGAGUAGCUUAAAUUCGCGUCGCGAUCGGUUGUACAAAGUAAAUAUUUUUUAUGUUUUAAUUAAAAUCGUGUAUUCGUUGUCGGUAUUAAAUGUGUUCGUAAACGGUUUAUCGUGUCAAGUGAGUGCAAAAACAGACCUUUGCUGGUUUUAUAAUCCGAAAACAUUUUAUCGUAAUUUUGAUAGACAUUUCUUAAGAAAAUGGAACAUUAUGCAACAGUCAACUGGUUAUAAAAAGUCA